rnacentral:rRNA from 1 species
CCGCCGCGGUUAUACGAGAGGCCCAAGUUGAUAGUCAACGGCGUAAAGUGUGGUUAGAAAGAACUUAAUACUAAAGCCGAACGCCUUCAAGGCUGUUAUACGCACACCGAAGGUGAGAAGCCCACCCACGAAAGUGGCUUUAUAACUUUGAAUCCACGAAAGCUAUGAAACAAACUGGGAUUAGAUACCCCACUAUGCUUAGCCCUAAACAUUGACAACAAGAUACAACUGUUGUCCGCCUGGACACUACGAGCACCAGCUUGAAAGCCAAAGGACUUGGCGGUGCCUUAGACCCACCUAGAGGAGCCUGUCCUAGAACCGAUAACCCCCGUUCAACCUCACCCUUCUUUGCUUUAUCCGCCUAUAUACCGCCGUCGUCAGCUCACCCUGUGAAGGACCCAUCGUAAGCAAAAUUGGCACAGCCCUAAACGCCAGGUCGAGGUGUAGCGUAUGGAAGGGGAAGAGAUGGGCUACACUCUCUAAUGCAGAGGAAACGAAUGAUGUGCUGAAACGCACAUCUGAAGGAGGAUUUAGUAGUAAGUGGGAAGUAGAGUGUCCCACUGAAAUUGGCCCUGAGGCGUGCACAUACCGCCCGUCACUCUCUCCAAACUAGCUAAAUACAGUUAAAUAAAAACUCAUUAUAGUAAAGGGGAGGCAAGUCGUAACAUGGUAAGUG